rnacentral:lncRNA from 10 species
GUGAGUAUUUUUAGUUAUUUUAAUUUUUAUUUAUUUAUUUAGAGACAAGAUCUUGUUCCAUUGUUCAAACUGGAGUGUAGUGGCAUGAUCUUAUCUCACCGCAGCCUUUAAUUUUAAAGAUAGGGUCUCACUUUGUCACCCAGGAACCUCGAACUCCUGGGCUCAAGCAAUCUUCCCACCUCAGCCUCCCAAGUAGCUUGGAUGACAGGUAUGUGCCACCAUGCCUGGCUUUUGUUGUUUUUGUUAGAGAAGUGGUUUUACCAUGUUGCCCAGCCAGGCUGGCCUCAAGUGAUUCUCUUGCCUCAGUCUCCCAAAGUGCCUGGGAUUACAGGCAUGAGCCACUGGGCCUGGCCUAUUUUUAGUUUUGUAUUGGGCACAAUUGUUUAAAGUAUUCAAGGAAUCAGUUGCCAUGACAGUUUGGCUCUGUGUCCCAAAGCGUGCUCUGAGGCUCUGACACCAGAGUUCCACGGUCAAAGGCCCCUGAGAAGUGCUAUGUUAAGGGAACAGCUUCCUCGCCUAGAGGGGUCUACUUUAAUAUGCCAAGGAGCAUGGGAAUCUUGAACAGGAGACUGGAAUCCACAGUCUGCCUCCAUUCAACUGAUCUUGGUUUUCCAGAGCAAAGCCUGGGAUCAGCAUUCCAAGGAACACACUUUGGGAACAUAGUCGGUGGAAGGCUCUCAUAACUAAAAGGUCUCUCUGUUUCUGUAUUAGUUCCUUACCUACUGUGGAGUACAAAUUAUCCCAAACUUAGUGGCUUAAAAUAGGCAUUUUAGUAUCUCAGCUUCUGUGGGUCAGGAAUUCAGAUGUGGCUUAGCUGGCUGGUCUGUCUUAAGGUUGCCAUCAAGAUGUCAGCUGGGGCUGUGGUCAUCUGAAGCCUUGACUGAGGAUAGAGGAUCUGUUUCCUAAAUGGCUCACUGACAUGGCUGACAAAGAGGCUUCAGCUCCAUGCCAUGCAGACUUCAGCAGGCUGCUUGAGUUUCCCCACAAUAUGGCGGCUGGCUUCUCAGAGUGAGUGAUGCAAGAGAGUGAGACUGAAGCUGCAGUACCUUUUAUGACCUAGCCUUGAACAGUACAUGCAGUCAUUUCCUCAGUAUCCUAUUGGUUAUGCAGGCCAGCCUGAUUGAUUGUGGAAAUGUGUGAAUGCCAGGAGGUGCGAAUUGUUUGGAGACCAUGUUGGAGGCCAACUGCCUUAGUAACCAUCACUUUGGUACCAGGACAUGUAACUUGCCUCAUUUGCACAGUUGCUUUUUCUUACCAUUUUGUAGACAUGAGUAACAUUGGGAAGUGAACCUGUUAACCUGUGAUAUGAAGAGAAGGGGAAGAGACCAAAAAUUUAUCAGCCACACCAAGCCCUGGAAAACAGCGGUACUAAUAACCCAGCCUCCCUUCCUGGGUGCUCACUCUGUACCAGGUACCUCAUGGGCCUCAGGGUGCUAUGCAACCCCUGUCCCCAUGAGCAGGUUCCACUGAUAUUUUCAAGUCAGGCCACUCAUGCCUAUGAAAUGCAUGAAAUGAGAUUUUUUUGUGAUGUUGGCUAUGGCAACACACGUGGCUCUGCCUGAUGGAAGCUGAGACAAAAUUGGUAACCUGAGCGAACCCGUGUGGAGAAGAUUUGAGCAGAGAGUAAGCUUAGGAUGGAUAAAUGCCCACGAUAAACAAAUAAUAAAUAGAUGAGAUGAAAUAUUUAUUUCAUGUACAGGAUGAGGAUUAAAUACGUUAACAAGAUGAGGAGUCAGGGUGAGCCUGGGGAAUCCCUGGUUUCACUGGAGCCUCCUGGCUGGGAGAAGUGUCACGUCUCCAGGCUGGGGCAGCGGCAGGGCUCCCUGGUUGGGAGGUCUAGUGGUGACACGUGGAACACCUGGUGGUGAGCCCCAGAAUGCCUGUGUCCCAGGCCGACCCAUACUGGUCAUGAGCUGUGUGAUCCAGGCAAGUGACUUCACGGACCUCAGUUUCCCAUCUGCAAAAUGGGAUGAUAACAGCAAACUUCACCACUUGUGAUGAGGAUUCGGAGAGUGAAUCUUUGGCCCAGCACAAGGCCUGUAAGGUGUUUCACAUGGCAGAGUUGGUGGCGGGUCACCAAGGUGGUGGUGUCCCAGGUUGAAGGAACCUUUCUAGAAAUUCCAUUGCCUGGAAGGAUCCAGUGACACACAGUGGACCCUGAGCCACAAAACAGACUGUGGUAACUGCUGGGGCCUCCCGCAGGGUGAUCCCCGAGGAGGCUGGGAGGAGCUCAGCCCUUUCUUCUGCUGGGGGCAUGUGCAGGCAUGGAGACUGCCCGGCCCCUUCCUGUCCUGUUGGGGCAUGAUUUUCAACAGAGGGAGGAUUCUGGGCAUGUUUUCCUUUGGAAGUCUCACCAGGCUGAGCAGGACUUAGAGGAACUCCGGCUACGUUUGCUGUCCCAACAAAUAGACCAGAGCCUCACACUUGCUGCCUCCUCUGCCUGGAACUCUCUCCCUCUGCUCUCACAGGGUUCCCUAAGUGUCGCUUCCUCCAAGAAGCCCUCCCUGAUGAGUUGAGCCACUUUAGUUUGUGCUCAGGCUCACCCUGCACGUCUUGGUUGCUCUCAUCACUGUAAUGAUCUAAAACACACGUCUGCUCAUGAGACCCGCAUCCCACCCCCGAUGCUGGGGCCGCUCUUGGAUUUUCAUGCCUGCUGCCAGCACCCAGGGGGAGCUCCGGAAAUGUCUGCUGGGGGCUCGGAAUACCCACCUUUCUGGUAAUGCAGCCCAGCGGGUCCCAGCCUCGUUUUCCAGCCCUCACUCAAAAUGGAGUCGCUCUGGUUCGAACGCCUCUGACAAGUGUGUACCUACGUGUCAGGCCCAUCCUUCCUGCAGGCCUUUGUCUUGGUGUCACCCUGCCUGAGCUGGCCCCAACCACAGUAGCAACAGUGAUGCUGAUGUGUGACUGCUGCCAGGAGCCUGCUCACAUGACCGUGUGGAGAAAGUUCUUUCCCUGAGGACCAUCUGGAGUGGACGCGUGCACUACCCCUCUCUGAAUACACCCUCCCCACGAGGCCCUCUGGAGCAUCCUGUAGAGCCAGCCCCUACCCAGAGACCCUGAGCCCAGAGAAUGCGCUGGGUGGUGAGCCUGGGGACGAAUGCAGAGCCCUAGGUCUCCUCUCCAGAAAGACCGGAUUUUGCCAUGUUGGCCAGGCUGGUCUUGAACUCCUGACCUCAAGUGAUCCACCUGCCUCGGCCUCCCAAAGUGCAGGGAUUACAGGUGUGAGCCACUGCACCCGGCCUCAGGCAGGUAUUUUUACCAGCCGAAUACUCUUGCACUGUGCACUCUUCGUGUUCAUCAUCAGUCCCCCGGAUGGGUGUUUAAGGCAUUUCCAAAGCUCUGUUAUUAAAAACACGAUGCAAUGAGUUUCUUUCAGCAUUUCCCCUUGUUGCCGUGUGAAUGCGUCCGUGGUAUAACUUCCUAAAAGUGGAAUCGCUUGGUCAAAGGGUGGGUGCAUUUAGCAACCUGAUGGCUUUCCAGGAGACAAGUGCUGCCUCCCGGCCACGAGCUUUUAAGAAGAACUGUUGAUGGAACCCGAGCUGGAGUCCCAGGGACCGGGGCGAGUUCUCCAUCCCAGGGGAUUUUCAGAUGGGACACUGGGGAGAAGCUGCCCUGCCCAUCUGAACUCUAUGAUCCCAGUACUAACACUGGUAGCUGUGCCAUCCCCAGUAUAGAGACAGCACCGUGCUCUUGGGAGGGUGAGUCAUUGGCCCCCG